rnacentral:misc_RNA from 1 species
AGCAGCCGCGGUAAUUCCAGCUCCAAUAGCGUAUAUUAAAGUUGUUGCAGAUUAAAAAGCUCGUAGUUGAACUUCGGGGUCUACCCAUUGGUCAGGCUUAAUUGUCUGCACUGGUGAGAUGGAUCUCUACCUUCUGAGGAACUUUCAUGCCAUUUAUUUGGUGUGGUUGGAAAUCAGGACUGUUACUUUGAAAAAAUUAGGUGUUUAAAAGCAGACUAUCAGUCUGAAUACAUUAGCAUGGAAUAAUGAAAUAGGACGGACUGAUUCUAUUUCGUUGGUUUCUAGGAUCACCGUAAUGAUUAAUA